UACCUGAAUGGUUGUCACCACAUUUGUA
rnacentral:sRNA from 1 species